CCUACGGGAGGCAGCAGUGAGGAAUAUUGGUCAAUGGCCGGAAGGCUGAACCAGCCAUGCCGCGUGAAGGUCAGUGCCCUAUGGGCGUUAAACUUCUUUUGUGCGGGAGCAAUAAUGGUCCCGUGUGGCCAGACGAGAGUCCCGUCCGAAUAAGCCUCGGCUAACUCCGUGCCCGCAGCCGCGGUAAUACGGGGGUGCAAGCGUUAUCCGGAUUUAUUGGGUUUAAAGGGUGCGUAGGCUGGGAGGAAAGUCAGCGGUGAAAGGCCCCCGCUCAACGGGGUGAAGUGCCAUUGAUACUGCCUGGCGUGAAUGCGGAUGCCGUGAGAGGAAGGGGUGGUGUAGCGGUGAAAUGCAUAGAUAUCACACAGAACACCGAUUGCGAAGGCAGCUCACGAAUCCGCGAUUGACGCUGAGGCACGAAAGCGUGGGUAUCAAACAGGAUUAGAUACCCUGGUAGUC
rnacentral:rRNA from 1 species